GCCUGGCUGACUCAGUUGGUAGAGCAUGAGACUCUUAAUCUCAGGGUUGUGGGUUCGAGCCCCACAUUGGGUG
rnacentral:tRNA from 1 species